GGGGAUGCGUUCCAUUAGAUAGUAGGCGGGGUAACGGCCCACCUAGUCAACGAUGGAUAGGGGUUCUGAGAGGAAGGUCCCCCACAUUGGAACUGAGACACGGUCCAAACUCCUACGGGAGGCAGCAGUGAGGAAUAUUGGUCAAUGGGCGAUGGCCUGAACCAGCCAAGUAGCGUGAAGGAUGACUGCCCUAUGGGUUGUAAACUUCUUUUAUAAAGGAAUAAAGUCGGGUAUGCAUACCCGUUUGCAUGUACUUUAUGAAUAAGGAUCGGCUAACUCCGUGCCAGCAGCCGCGGUAAUACGGAGGAUCCGAGCGUUAUCCGGAUUUAUUGGGUUUAAGGGAGCGUAGAUGGAUGUUUAAGUCAGUUGUGAAAGUUUGCGGCUCAACCGUAAAUUGCAGUUGAUACUGGAUGUCUUGAGUGCAGUUGAGGCAGGCGGAAUUCGUGGUGUAGC
rnacentral:rRNA from 1 species